AUUGAACGCUGGCGGCAGGCCUAACACAUGCAAGUCGAACGAGUGGCGGACGGGUGAGUAAUGUCUGGGAAACUGCCCGAUGGAGGGGGAUAACUACUGGAAACGGUCGCUAAUACCGCAUACCAUCGGAUGUGCCCAGAUGGGAUUAGCUAGUAGGUGGGGUAACGGCUCACCUAGGCGACGAUCCCUAGCUGGUCUGAGAGGAUGACCAGCCACACGGGAACGGGGACACGGUCCAGACCCCUACGGAAGGCAGCAGUGGGAAAUAUUGCACAAGGGGGGCAAGCCUAAGGCAGCCAGGCCGGGUGGAGAAAGAAGGCCUUGGGGUGGUAAAGUACGUUCAGCGAGGAGGCGUUACUCGCAGAGGAAGCACCGGCUAACUCCGUGCCAGCCGCCGCGGUAAUUC
rnacentral:rRNA from 1 species